rnacentral:rRNA from 1 species
CCUACGGGAGGCAGCAGUGGGGAAUCUUGCGCAAUGGGCGAAAGCCUGACGCAGCCAUGCCGCGUGUAUGAUGAAGGUCUUAGGAUUGUAAAAUACUUUCACCGGGGACGAUAAUGACGGUACCCGGAGAAGAAGCCCCGGCUAACUUCGUGCCAGCAGCCGCGGUAAUACGAAGGGGGCUAGCGUUGCUCGGAAUUACUGGGCGUAAAGGGAGCGUAGGCGGAUAGUUUAGUCAGAGGUGAAAGCCCAGGGCUCAACCUUGGAACUGCCUUUGAUACUGGCUAUCUUGAGUAUGGGAGAGGUGAGUGGAACUCCGAGUGUAGAGGUGAAAUUCGUAGAUAUUCGGAAGAACACCAGUGGCGAAGGCGACUCACUGGCCCAUUACUGACGCUGAGGCUCGAAAGCGUGGGGAGCAAACAGGAUUAGAUACCCUGGUAGUCCACGCCGUAAACGAUGAGUGCUAGUUGUCGGCAUGCAUGCAUGUCGGUGACGCAGCUAACGCAUUAAGCACUCCGCCUGGGGAGUACGGUCGCAAGAUUAAAACUCAAAAGAGUAGUAGGACGNGAGAGACGCGACGACGACGACGACGGAGGAGGAGG